GGUUAAGCGACUAAGCGUACACGGUGGAUGCCCUGGCAGUCAGAGGCGAUGAAGGACGUGCUAAUCUGCGAUAAGCGUCGGUAAGGUGAUAUGAACCGUUAUAACCGGCGAUUUCCGAAUGGGGAAACCCAGUGUGAUUCGUCACACUAUCAUUAACUGAAUCCAUAGGUUAAUGAGGCGAACCGGGGGAACUGAAACAUCUAAGUACCCCGAGGAAAAGAAAUCAACCGAGAUUCCCCCAGUAGCGGCGAGCGAACGGGGAGGAGCCCAGAGCCUGAAUCAGUGUGUGUGUUAGUGGAAGCGUCUGGAAAGGCGCGCGAUACAGGGUGACAGCCCCGUACACAAAAAUGCACAUACUGUGAGCUCGAUGAGUAGGGCGGGACACGUGGUAUCCUGUCUGAAUAUGGGGGGACCAUCCUCCAAGGCUAAAUACUCCUGACUGACCGAUAGUGAACCAGUACCGUGAGGGAAAGGCGAAAAGAACCCCGGCGAGGGGAGUGAAAAAGAACCUGAAACCGUGUACGUACAAGCAGUGGGAGCCUCUUUUAUGGGGUGACUGCGUACCUUUUGUAUAAUGGGUCAGCGACUUAUAUUCUGUAGCAAGGUUAACCGAAUAGGGGAGCCGAAGGGAAACCGAGUCUUAACCGGGCGUUAAGUUGCAGGGUAUAGACCCGAAACCCGGUGAUCUAGCCAUGGGCAGGUUGAAGGUUGGGUAACACUAACUGGAGGACCGAACCGACUAAUGUUGAAAAAUUAGCGGAUGACUUGUGGCUGGGGGUGAAAGGCCAAUCAAACCGGGAGAUAGCUGGUUCUCCCCGAAAGCUAUUUAGGUAGCGCCUCGUGAAUUCAUCUCCGGGGGUAGAGCACUGUUUCGGCAAGGGGGUCAUCCCGACUUACCAACCCGAUGCAAACUGCGAAUACCGGAGAAUGUUAUCACGGGAGACACACGGCGGGUGCUAACGUCCGUCGUGAAGAGGGAAACAACCCAGACCGCCAGCUAAGGUCCCAAAGUCAUGGUUAAGUGGGAAACGAUGUGGGAAGGCCCAGACAGCCAGGAUGUUGGCUUAGAAGCAGCCAUCAUUUAAAGAAAGCGUAAUAGCUCACUGGUCGAGUCGGCCUGCGCGGAAGAUGUAACGGGGCUAAACCAUGCACCGAAGCUGCGGCAGCGACACUGUGUGUUGUUGGGUAGGGGAGCGUUCUGUAAGCCUGUGAAGGUGUACUGUGAGGUAUGCUGGAGGUAUCAGAAGUGCGAAUGCUGACAUAAGUAACGAUAAAGCGGGUGAAAAGCCCGCUCGCCGGAAGACCAAGGGUUCCUGUCCAACGUUAAUCGGGGCAGGGUGAGUCGACCCCUAAGGCGAGGCCGAAAGGCGUAGUCGAUGGGAAACAGGUUAAUAUUCCUGUACUUGGUGUUACUGCGAAGGGGGGACGGAGAAGGCUAUGUUGGCCGGGCGACGGUUGUCCCGGUUUAAGCGUGUAGGCUGGUUUUCCAGGCAAAUCCGGAAAAUCAAGGCUGAGGCGUGAUGACGAGGCACUACGGUGCUGAAGCAACAAAUGCCCUGCUUCCAGGAAAAGCCUCUAAGCAUCAGGUAACAUCAAAUCGUACCCCAAACCGACACAGGUGGUCAGGUAGAGAAUACCAAGGCGCUUGAGAGAACUCGGGUGAAGGAACUAGGCAAAAUGGUGCCGUAACUUCGGGAGAAGGCACGCUGAUAUGUAGGUGAAGUCCCUCGCGGAUGGAGCUGAAAUCAGUCGAAGAUACCAGCUGGCUGCAACUGUUUAUUAAAAACACAGCACUGUGCAAACACGAAAGUGGACGUAUACGGUGUGACGCCUGCCCGGUGCCGGAAGGUUAAUUGAUGGGGUCAGCGCAAGCGAAGCUCUUGAUCGAAGCCCCGGUAAACGGCGGCCGUAACUAUAACGGUCCUAAGGUAGCGAAAUUCCUUGUCGGGUAAGUUCCGACCUGCACGAAUGGCGUAAUGAUGGCCAGGCUGUCUCCACCCGAGACUCAGUGAAAUUGAACUCGCUGUGAAGAUGCAGUGUACCCGCGGCAAGACGGAAAGACCCCGUGAACCUUUACUAUAGCUUGACACUGAACAUUGAGCCUUGAUGUGUAGGAUAGGUGGGAGGCUUUGAAGUGUGGACGCCAGUCUGCAUGGAGCCGACCUUGAAAUACCACCCUUUAAUGUUUGAUGUUCUAACGUGGACCCGUGAUCCGGGUUGCGGACAGUGUCUGGUGGGUAGUUUGACUGGGGCGGUCUCCUCCUAAAGAGUAACGGAGGAGCACGAAGGUUGGCUAAUCCUGGUCGGACAUCAGGAGGUUAGUGCAAUGGCAUAAGCCAGCUUGACUGCGAGCGUGACGGCGCGAGCAGGUGCGAAAGCAGGUCAUAGUGAUCCGGUGGUUCUGAAUGGAAGGGCCAUCGCUCAACGGAUAAAAGGUACUCCGGGGAUAACAGGCUGAUACCGCCCAAGAGUUCAUAUCGACGGCGGUGUUUGGCACCUCGAUGUCGGCUCAUCACAUCCUGGGGCUGAAGUAGGUCCCAAGGGUAUGGCUGUUCGCCAUUUAAAGUGGUACGCGAGCUGGGUUUAGAACGUCGUGAGACAGUUCGGUCCCUAUCUGCCGUGGGCGCUGGAGAACUGAGGGGGGCUGCUCCUAGUACGAGAGGACCGGAGUGGACGCAUCACUGGUGUUCGGGUUGUCAUGCCAAUGGCACUGCCCGGUAGCUAAAUGCGGAAGAGAUAAGUGCUGAAAGCAUCUAAGCACGAAACUUGCCCCGAGAUGAGUUCUCCCUGACCCUUUAAGGGUCCUGAAGGAACGUUGAAGACGACGACGUUGAUAGGCCGGGUGUGUAAGCGCAGCGAUGCGUUGAGCUAACCGGUACUAAUGAACCGUGAGGCUUAACCUUACAACGCCGAAGGUGUUUUG
rnacentral:rRNA from 1 species